rnacentral:lncRNA from 1 species
GGCAUUAUUGGCACCAUCUGUGGCGGAGGUCCAGGCUGCUUCGGGACAGGAGCGGGAGCGGGAGCUGGAGCAGGUGCCGGUGCUGGUGCUGGAGCAGGUGCGGGUGCAGCUUUGGGCGCAGCAGGUUUCUCGGGUUCUUUAGGCUUCUCGGGUUGCUUAGGCUUUUCAGGUUCUUUAGGUUUCUCGGGUUCUUUAGGCUUUUCAGGUUGCUUAGGCUUUUCAGGCUCUUUAGGUUUCUCUGGCUCCUUAGGCUUCUCGGGAGCAUCUUUGGGCUUUUGGGGAGGAGGUUGGGGUUGUGGCUGAGGCGGCUUUGGUGGUUCUAAGAUCUCGAUGGUCUUGAUAGAGCCGCCACCUUUAGAACAAAGUUUGUCC